rnacentral:lncRNA from 1 species
AUUUGCUUUCAGAUUUUGACAUCUACACUGAGAAGAGCUGACCUUUCCCUGUCCUGUUGCCAGGUGAUCCAUAAGAGCAGUGUGGUGUGUUUCCUGAGUGUGUUCUUUAUAAGACUAUGGUCAAAGUUGACAUUUAGAAGUAGAAUAUUCUUUAAAUGUAGAAGGUAUUUCUACAUGUAUUUCUAUGUCACUAGUGAAACAAUUAUUCUUAAAUCCACUUAAUGAGUAAAUUCUCACAAACCUCCUUCUGUGACACUGAUCGGUUUUACCCGGUUGUGGGGAGAGAAGCGCACUUUCUUAAAUCUCGUCUUUCUCGAAGUGGACCGGGCAGGUUCUGUCUCAUCCUCCUCACAGGUUCCUGGAGAAUGCAUAGCAAUAGAAAGCAGUGUUGUUGGCAUCUUGUGGGCAGAAGUCCAUGGGGGAUUAGUCCAAAUUGACUCUUGUAUCAGCCUUCUGUUCCCCCUACACAACUGUUGCCCCAUGGAGUGUCAUGUCUCCAACUUGGACUUAGGAAGAGUUUGCAUUGAGGUGUGGACUGAAAUACCCCCACAGACAGGUUUGUGGGCAAAUGCCCUGAUUUACCAGAGACAUUAAAGCCACACAGCAAAGCACCAUGAGCCAGCCUUAUGCCCUGGGCUCUCUUCGUACUUAGAAGAGGCGCGUACCUGACAGUGUUCCAGAAAGCCUUCGGUGCCUCAGUCCCCUGUUCUGAGAUGUGGAAAUGUCCAUACCGCCUACUCAUAGUGUGCUGUUAGGAGGCGAAAUGGGAUUGACUGCAAGUAGAACCUUGGGCACAGUGAUGGUUGGAUGCUUCACGAUUGCUUUGUAGGUAUGCAGCACUCAAAUGGCUACAGAAUGAGUUAGAUGUCUGGUCUUGGGUGGAUGUAGACAGGGGACUUGGAUGGCUCCACAGCAUGGAAGGUCGGAAGUUCCCUCUUUAGGGUUUAUAUGGAAAUGACGCUGUAAAGCGCAUGGAGGCCACGUGACAGCCCACUGCUGGAAUGCACUUAGUAGCAAAUCAACAGAGGUCUGCCAGCAAAAAACUAAAACUAAGUGUAUAUAUAUAUAUAUAUAUAUAUAUAGCAUAGUAUUGUAUAGCCUAUAUGUAUAGGAUAAUAUUCUACGUCUGUAGGAAUUGCAAGAAAUAUUUAAAAGCCAACAA